CCAUUAGUUGCUACGAAAGGGCACUCUAAUGGGACUGCCGGUGACAAACCGGAGGAAGGUGGGGAUGACGUCAAGUCCUCAUGGCCCUUAUAGGUGGGGCUACACACGUCAUACAAUGGCCGGUACAGAGGGUAGCCAACCCGCAGGGGGAGCCAAUCCCACAAAGCCGGUCGUAGUCCGGAUCGCAGUCUGCAACUCGACUGCGUGAAGUCGGAAUCGCUAGUAAUCGCGGAUCAGCAUGUCGCGGUGAAUACGUUCCCGGGUCUU
rnacentral:rRNA from 1 species